rnacentral:rRNA from 1 species
UACGUAGGGUGCAAGCGUUAAUCGGAAUUACUGGGCGUAAAGCGUGCGCAGGCGGUGAUGCAAGUCAGGUGUGAAAUCCCCGGGCUCAACCUGGGAACUGCAUCUGUGACUGCAUCGCUGGAGUGCGGCAGAGGGGGAUGGAAUUCCGCGUGUAGCAGUGAAAUGCGUAGAUAUGCGGAGGAACACCGAUGGCGAAGGCAAUCCCCUGGGCCUGCACUGACGCUCAUGCACGAAAGCGUGGGGAGCAAACAGG